GACGAACGCUGGCGGCGUGCUUAACACAUGCAAGUCGAGCGGAAAGGCCCUUUCGGGGGUACUCGAGCGGCGAACGGGUGAGUAACACGUGAGUAAUCUGCCCUUCACUUGGGGAUAACUACCGGAAACGGUGGCUAAUACCCGAUAUGACCAAUCACUGCAUGGUGUGUUGGUGGAAAGUUUUUUCGGUGGAGGAUGUGCUCGCGGCCUAUCAGCUUGUUGGUGGGGUAAUGGCCUACCAAGGCUUCGACGGGUAGCCGGCCUGAGAGGGGGACCGGCCACGCGGGGACUGAGACACGGCCCAGACUCCUACGGGAGGCAGCAGUGGGGAAUAUUGGACAAUGGGCGAAAGCCUGAUCCAGCAACGCCGCGUGAGGGAUGACGGCCUUCGGGUUGUAAACCUCUUUCAGCGGGGACGAAGCGCCGGUAAUGGUGGUGACGGUACCCGCAGAAGAAGCACCGGCCAACUACGUGCCAGCAGCAGCCGCCG
rnacentral:rRNA from 1 species